GUGGGGAAUAUUGGACAAUGGGCGAAAGCCUGAUCCAGCCAUGCCGCGUGUGUGAAGAAGGUCUUCGGAUUGUAAAGCACUUUAAGUUGGGAGGAAGGGCAGUAAGCUAAUACCUUGCUGUUUUGACGUUACCGACAGAAUAAGCACCGGCUAACUUCGUGCCAGCAGCCGCGGUAAUACGAAGGGUGCAAGCGUUAAUCGGAAUUACUGGGCGUAAAGCGCGCGUAGGUGGUUUUGUAAGUUGGAGGUGAAAUCCCCGGGCUCAACCUGGGAACUGCCUCCAAAACUGCAUGACUAGAGUACGGUAGAGGGUAGUGGAAUUUCCUGUGUAGCGGUGAAAUGCGUAGAUAUAGGAAGGAACACCAGUGGCGAAGGCGACUACCUGGACUGAUACUGACACUGAGGUGCGAAAGCGUGGGGAGCAAACAGGAUUAGAUACCCGUGUAGUCC
rnacentral:rRNA from 1 species